rnacentral:rRNA from 1 species
GAUGAACGCUGGCGGCGUGCCUAAUACAUGCAAGUCGAGCGAACAGACGAGGAGCUUGCUCCUCUGACGUUAGCGGCGGACGGGUGAGUAACACGUGGAUAACCUACCUAUAAGACUGGGAUAACUUCGGGAAACCGGAUCUAAUACCGGAUAAUAUAUUGAACCGCAUGGUUCAAUAGUGAAAGACGGUUUUGCUGUGACUUAUAGAUGGAUCCGCGCCGCAUUAGCUAGUUGGUAAGGUAACGGCUUACCAAGGCAACGAUGCGUAGCCGACCUGAGAGGGUGAUCGGCCACACUGGAACUGAGACACGGUCCAGACUCCUACGGGAGGCAGCAGUAGGGAAUCUUCCGCAAUGGGCGAAAGCCUGACGGAGCAACGCCGCGUGAGUGAUGAAGGUCUUCGGAUCGUAAAACUCUGUUAUUAGGGAAGAACAAAUGUGUAAGUAACUAUGCACGUCUUGACGGUACCUAAUCAGAAAGCCACGGCUAACUACGUG